rnacentral:lncRNA from 1 species
ACGAGAAAGGGGCCGGUAAUUGGAAUUCUCAGUUCCAUGCUCAAAUCAAAAAUAUAAUUGCAAACAAAACUCCCCCAGGAUUGAUGUUGGUAUGGACGGUACCCGAGGAUUCGGCUAGCCGUGGAGUGUGAUUGAUUGGUGGUGGGGGAGUCAAAACUUUACUUUUCUGUUUGGGAACCGCCUAUAGCAUGUGUAGCGUGGAAGAUGUUGAGAACUCUUAGUCAUUGCGUUGAAAUGAAAGCAUG